rnacentral:lncRNA from 1 species
CAUUGAACCUAUAAUAAGGAUCGUGAUCGUGAAAAUUUUGCUAAAAUGAUUGUUGUUUGUGGUUUACCUUUUAGUUUUGGAGAACAUCUAGGUUUUAUUGCAUAUAUUCGUGAUACAUAUAAUCCUAGUUUUAAAGGUUUAUCAAGAAGCAUGGUAAAAUGAGAUAUUUUUGAAUUUCAAGAAAACAUUGUCAAUAUUUGCAUGCUUAUUUUGAAAUAAUGGAUUGUAGAGUUGCUAUUACCACUGAUAUGGGUCGUAGUCCUAAUGGUUUUGAUUAUUUAACUGUUACUACGCAUUGGACUGAGUAUAAUUGGAAUUUACAAAAAAGAAUUAUUGGUUACAAAAUUUGUCAAAAGAAAAAAACUGGAAUGUAUAUUGCUACUACUGUGUUGGAAAUUUUAGAUUUUUUCGGUCUUUGUGAUAAAGUCAUUAGUAUUACUUUAGAUAAUGCUUCUGCUAAUUUAAAUGCUAUUAAUAUGCUAGAACCUAGACUUUGUCCUAUUAGUAAAUAUGCUUUUCAUGUUAGAUGUGCUGCGCAUAUAUUAAAUUUGGUUGUUAGUGACGGUGUGAAAUUAUUUGAAAAUAGUUGUGAUAAAGUUGAUAAGUGUGAAAUUAUUUGAGAUAAAGUUGAUAAUGCUUGUUUUUAUAUUUUUCAUAUGCAUAGUAGUAGUAGAAUUAAUCAAUUUAAAGAGCUUUGUAAUGCAUGUAAACUUCCGUUUAGAAAAGUUCCGAAGCAUGUAAAAACUAGAUGGAAUUCCUUUUAUGAAAUGCUUGAAGUUGCUUAUACAUAUAAAGAGCCUAUUACUAUGCAAUUUAAUAGUCAUAAUGCUUAUCCUGAAUUUAAACUUAAUGAUAGUGAUUGGGAUGAAGUAAAUGAACUUAGAAUAUUUUUGAAAUCGCUUUAUGAUGCUACUAAAAAAUUUUCUGGAAUGUAUUAUCCUACUAUUUCUGAAAUAUUAAUAAAUAUAUGUGAGAUUUCAUAUAUCUUUUCUGAAUAUAAAACAAAUGAAUUAUUUACCACGAAGUCACUUAGUCGAACUAGAAAACUAUAAAGAAAGGGAGGCUAAGGUUACGAAGUAAGGUCAGCUGGUUAAGGAAAGCUUAGGUUAUGAAAUCGCUUAGCCGUUAAUUAAUUGAAAAUGAAAGUAGUAGUGAGGCGUCGGUACGAAGUUGUGUCAGCUGUGGAUAUAGACUAGGCUAAGGCUUAGGUAAGGCUUGACUUCUAUUUUCUUCACUUACACCUUACACUUCAGCUGAGUCUAACGAGGCUUAGGUGCGGAGCCUUCCAUAGUGGACCGAGACUACGCAAAGGUAGAACACCAUGGAAACUUCGCUGACUUUAUCAUCAACCUUGAUUUCGCUACGCUCAAUAAGAACUCGGAAUAACGGAAAUAGGUUUGUGUUCCGCUUCCAAAGUCAGUCGUCUGCAGUUCACAAUUGGGCAAAGACGACUCUCCAGUGGUUCCAUUCCUUCUUACUGUACUUCUGGGUCAACCCAACCUGAAUGGGAAGAAGAGGGUCAGCCAAACGUGCUAUUGAAGUUAUGAUUACAAAAUUUAAGAAAUAUUUUUUUCCUAUCCCUCAAAUAUAUUAAAUUGCAAUUAUUUUCAACCCCGAAUAUAAAGAAUAUGGUGCAAAAGCUUUAGUUGAAUGCAUUUAUCAAAAUGUAGAUAUUAAACCAAAAGAAAAACCUGAUUUGGUAACAUGUCAAAAUAGUAUAAAAUUACUUGCGAAAAGAAAUGUAUGAUAAAUAUUGUUCCUUAGAUAAUGUUGAAAAUCCUCAAAUGUCGAUGCCUCGAGUAGGUGCCCAUGGUAGAGUGAAACAUAAACUUGGUCUUGACUCUUCUAAUAAAUGUGAAUUUGUUAAAUAUCUUGAACAGGGUUCAGAUAAUAUUACAAACGAUGAAGGUAUACCACAACUAUUAAACUGGUGGAGGCUCGUGGAACUCAAUUUCCAAAACUUAGUAGGAUGGUGAAGGACGUGCUUGCAAUUCAAGGAUCAUCAGUUGCUUCGGAGGCAGCUUUCAGCGCGGCAAGAUUUCAAAUUAGAGACCACAGAUAUUCGUUAGCAGAAGACAGUUUGGAGAUAUCGGUGUUGUUUAAAGAUUGGAUAAAUACUGAGCGGAGAAAUCAAGGACUUCCAAAGUUGGAUAGUCAAUUUGAACUUUUCAUAGAUUCAGCCAUUGGAUGUGGUAGUGACGAUGGCAUGGAACUUCAAGAUCGUCAACGAGCUUUACCAAGACCAGUAGUUGAUUACGGUCAAUCUAUAGCUGAGUUAGAGAAAGGAUUUACGGGACUAUACAACUAUUAGUAUUACAUUUGAGGCUUAGUUGAAANNNNNNNNNNNNNNNNNNNNNNNNNNNNNNNNNNNNNNNNNNNNNNNNNNNNNNNNNNNNNNNNNNNNNNNNNNNNNNNNNNNNNNNNNNNNNNNNNNNNNNNNNNNNNNNNNNNNNNNNNNNNNNNNNNNNNNNNNNNNNNNNNNNNNNNNUUUGUGACUUUGUGUCAUUGUUUUAUCCUUAUUUUUAUUUAAUUUUUUAAAAUUACAAACUUAAGUUAUUUAAAUUACAAGUUAUAAAUAUAACUUAUAAGUUAUAACAUAUUAAUAAGUAAUAACUUAUAAACUUCAAAAGAUUCAAAUCUUAAAAACUUAAGGUCAAAAACAUUUUUUUUUUAAAAAUACUUUAUUAAACUUAACUUGCAAACUUAAUAAGUAAAAAUUAGAAAAAACAUUCAUAUUUUCGUAUUUCAAAAAAUUAAAAUAACUGAUUUUUUUUUUUAUCAUUUUUUGAAAUAUCUAGAUGUGUCGUCUCGUUUAUCCCAUCCUGUUCCAUUCCGGUCCGUUCCGAUCCAUUCCGCUUCCAUCCCGGUAUAUAGUGGGACGGGAUGGAACAGAGUAUCCGUCCCGGUAAUUCCGGUCCGGUUCAUCCCGGUACCGGUCAACAAACCGGUCAACCCAUCCCUUUUCAGUCUAGUAUCGGUUCAUUCCGGUUUGGUGGUUUCGUUCCGGUCUGGCGCCCAGUCUUACAAUGGCCCUCGGAAUAAGAUCGGAAGCACACGAAGGGUCGUUCUAGACCAAACUCGGCAUUCCGGAACUAACCGCACUGACGGAAUUCUCAUACGAGUGUGUUUACCAAGAAUGUUGAUCAAAGUUAAACUUAAGCCAAAAUUAAAAGGCUAAAGCACCAAAUGGCCCCAAAGUCACACAGAAAGCCUCAGGACUCGUGUCAACCAUGCUACUAUAUAAUUGGCCACUCCAGAGCUGAUGCAACUGUUAGAAUUUCCAUCUGAGGUCAUUUACCUGAGGUUAUGACUAAAAUCAAAUUUUCAAGUUUCAAAAGCUCCAAAAUUGGAAAACGGGCAUAAAACCCAAACGAACAACCAGGCGACCGAACAGUUUGUGCCAGCAAGUCAUAAAUGACUUGUGGUCGCUACAGGAACGCUCUAAACAAUGGAAAGAAGGCAUAAACACAAAAAUAACCUAGAGGGUCAUUAGAACUAAGAAUAUCGACUUACGACAAUAAAACAUUCAUUGAAAACUAAAUUAAGAAGUCUAAUAGAGAAAACAUACACAAAAAGAUAGAGAAGGAAGAAAAAUUCAAUGUAUACAUAAUUCUUAAAACUUGGAUCGAUAAUAAUAUAGAUGGAAAAAAUAAACACUAAAUUAUACAUCAUUUUCCGAGUUCUUAUUGACUCUUUCUACCAUAUCCUAUCAAAUUUCAAGAGUCUUCUUCAUCUACUUUAACUAUAGAAUAAAGAUGAUAACCUUGGUAAGGGUUUCAUGAAAUAAAAAAACUGAAUUUAUAUAUACAAAAAUGAAGGAAUACCAAAAGAUAUCUUAAAGUUUUAUAUUAAAUAUUUAGAGGUUAUGGAUAUGAAAAGAUGAGAGUUAUGGAUAUCAAAAGCAUACAACAACUGAAUUUAUAUACACAGAAAUGAAGAAACACCAAAAGAUAUCUUAAAGUUUUAGAUUAAAUAUUUAGAGGUUAUGGAUAUGAAAAGAUGAGAGUUAUGGAUAUCAAAAACAUAAAAAUUUGAAUAGGUAAUUAGAUAUGAGUUAUGAAUAUGAAUAUUUGAAGCAAAUAACGUGUGUCUAUCAAUUUUGCAGAUUUGCACCCUUUUAAAUUAUUAAAUUUCUUUAUUAUCAUAAAGGAUAAUACUUUAUCCACAUAAAUUAUAUUAUUUAUGAGAGGAGUUACGGAAAAAGCUAUGAGAAGAAAAGUUGACUAAUUUAUUGUCACGACCUAGACCGUCGUGAUUGACACUAAUAUUAACCCUCCGGUGGGAGAAUCAUCACUACAACCCAACUAAGCAACUUAACCGAAAACUAAGCAUUUAAAAAUACGGAAGCAAGUUUAAAUGAAAAGAAAAAAUGGAGUUCCCAUAAACUCCAAAGGUUUAAUAAAACAACUAAGCAAACUAUUGCGGAAGUUUAACCCCCUAGAACCUGAAAGUCAUUGUACCAAAACUCUAAAUUCAACAAGUCUAAGAAAAGGAGUACAGCCCCAAGCAAGCAUAAGGAAUAUCUAAACCACUAGUCUGAGUCUGAAGAGAAUGGACUAAACAAAAGUGAAGGAUCAAUGGCAGCCUAAAAGAACUGGCUCACCCUUGAAUCUGGUCUCGAUCAGUUAUCUCCAAGCUGAGGUCUAUCCGUAACCGCCUAAAGAUGCCUUGUACUCAACAAAGAACGAGCAAGUACAAUAUCAGUGCACAACCACAGUGUACUGGUAGGAUCACGUGGCUACUCCAGUAAGCGAAAUAUACGCAUGCAAUUACAAGUAAACAUACAUAUAGAAAAUACAUGGAUCAAUUAUCAUUUCAAGAGCAACAUAUGGUUCCCAAUAUCAACGACAAUACACAUGAAUGUAAUGAUAACAAAUGGUCCUCUCAUGGAACCCACACCCAAAUUGUUAGUGUGUCAAAACGUGACACCCGAUCCAAUAUAUUUGUCGGAACGUGACACCCGAUACAAUAUAUGUGUCGAAACAUGACACCCGAUCCAAUAUAUGUGUCAGAACGUGACACCCGAUCUAAUAUAUGUGUCGGAACAUGACACAGAUCCAAUAUAUGUGUCGGAACAUGACACCGAUCCAAUAUAUGUGUCAGAAUGUGACACCCGAUCCAAUCAGCACAAUAACAAUCACAAUCACACCCAUAAUGAGCAUUACUCAUAAUCGUACAAUCAAGAUUAGGUUCAUGGCAUGGAAUUGUUCAUUCAUACUCAUUUUCAUCCUACCUCGAAACCAAGCUUGAAUCCUUCUAAGACACUUGAGCCUCCCCUUUCUGGAUUUUUUCCAAUUGUUCUUGGUCUAAAAGCAAUCAAUUAAUGCAAGGAUCAAUAAACAAGGCUUCAUUUACCCGGAUAAUAAUCAAUCUAUCUAUCCAUGGCCAAACCCAAGAUCCUAAUAUUCAAUUAGGGCUUUUCCUACCAUUAACUUUAGGUCAAAACUCUCCCCCAAUGAUAAUUACACAAGAAUCUAAGUUCUACGGAUCGAAAAUGGAUUAGGGGAGUAAUGAUCUUACCUUUAGUGCUAGAAGUGGUGGAAAACUGUCAAGAACUUGCCUUGGGUUGUCUCUUAGCUCUCAAGAACGAUCUUUUGCAGAAAAUAACGAAAUUGGGGUUUUUUACACGAUUUAAGUCGCGACUGUCCCGCUACAGUGGCCCCGCUCUGGCGGGCCUAAUCCCGCUCUAGCAGCUUGCAUGGAGAUAGAAGGUUGGAAUUUGAGUUACAAGCUCCCUUUUUGCAACAUACCUUUAACCCUUGAAAUUCAAAAAUUACCUUUUCACACCAAGAUCAGUUUCAGGAGUUCUAUUCGCCCGAAUUUUAUUCCGUAAAGUCGUACGAGCUCCUUAACGUCUUGGAUAUCCACUCAUGUGAUCAAAUUCAUAAUUAAAUCUCCCACUCAUUACCAGAUUUCCCUAUACCUUACCUAACUCAGAUUUCGUCCAAAUUUGGACUAGGCUAGAAAUUUCCAAGUUACUACUCAAAAGUUUUCUGGCCCAAAUUCUUUCCCCAUUGGAUUUUCCAUAACACUGGGAAUAGGUCAUUACAAUAGAUACCAAUUUAUCCAUCACUCAUCUCCGAGUGAUAAACUAGGAAUAACUGGCUUAGGUUAGAGUAGAGUAGUAUUUGAAUGUCGAAUAGCUGGGGAUACUUGUCUCGCAUGUCCCUCUCGGUUUUCCAAGGAGCUUCCUCAACUGGACAAUGCUUCCAUUGAACUUUCACGGACUUUAUAUCCUUGGUCCUCAUCUUCCGGACAUCGCGAUCAAGAAUUGCAACCGGUUCUUCCUCAUGUUGAAGGUCUUUGUUUAACAAAACUGAGUCCCACUUUAUGAUGUAAUCCCCGUCCCCAAACCAACCAAUUGAAUACCUACACAUCCUCUCAUACAAUGCCUUAGUGAAGUCAUCUCAAUACUUGAGUGAUAAAUAUUGUUGUAUGUAAACUUAACUAACAACAAAAACAAUUCCCAAUAACCAUUAAAGUCGAUCGUACACACGUCCGCAACAUGUUAUCAAGGACCUUGACACGAUCAUCAGGACGAAUCCUUUCUUACAUAAGCAUGAUAAAAUUCUAAAUCAAUACAUGCUACAAUUAGAAGUGAACCUGAACCAACCAACACACAUUCAUAAUACCCAAACAAUCAUAGUUAUUAUCAAUAUCUCCAUCUCACAACAUAAAUUCCCAUGAGCUUAAGUUAUAGAAAUUUGAUCUUUAGACAUCCGAUACUCAUCGAGGGAUAUGUCCAAGCAUACAAACCCCUAACAACACUAUCGAAAUGCUAGAUUAGUAAUUGUGAUUGUAGAUUACCCUUAAGAACGGUAGAAUUGGACCCAAUGAUCCCCACAUUAAACCACACAUAACCGAUACAUGACCUCGACGGCUAGAUGAAUAUUAAGAUUGUCCGACAACUAUAAAUACGCCUGGUAGCUCUUCUAUAAAUUCUCAUAAGCAAGGUGGUACAUGUAAAACCACUGGAAUACUUUAACACCUCCAAGACAACACCAAAUAUGUCAUCUGAAAUAACCAAGUCUUUUCAAUCAUCUCACUCAACCAAGAGAACAUCGCAGGAGCGGUACACCUAUUCAACCACUAGGGAUCCAUCCACAAAAGUGAAAACACAUGUGAGCAUAGCUAGUGAAUCAUACUCACAACCAUGUACAAAAUGAAAUAGAUGGUCACAUAAGAAUUUACAGAAUCAAUAUUGAAUAACAGUAAAGGUUUUCCUCUGACGAGUCGAUACCAGCCAUUUCCAUUCAGUUGACUCCACAUACUCUUCACAUCAUUCCACUGAAGUCCACACUCUAUAUACCAACAACCAUCAUGAACACUCUGACCAUUUACCUUACUCUAAACCAACACUUUUAAAUGAAAACCUUUCUUAGGUACUUUAACAAUUAAAAGUAAUAAACUUUGCAACUCAAACCAGGUGUAAGGCCUUUCAAAGGCUCAAUACCUGAUACAAUUGAUCAUUUCUCACCUUACAAAUUCAUACAUUGAUAAAAUAUAUCACCAUGAAUGUAGACUUACAAUGAAAAAUUUGAAUGGUAAAUUUAAUCGUAUAACACAAUCUGCUUAUCUAUCAACAUUAGCUUAUACCUUAAAGAUUUUUAUGAAUUCAUGGAUCUUUACUUAUCAUUGAUCGCAUCUCUAACGAUCUUACAAUAUCUUUUGCUAAAAAAUAUUCAAUUGUAUUCAUUGCUAAACUCAAAAACAAAAACAAAGCACUUAUCAUCACACUCGAGCUACUGUCUGUACACUCCUUUCUCAAGUCUUUUCCAUUAGUUUUUAACCAAUCUAAUGGACCUGUGACACUAUUACCAUAGCCACAAAAAAAUGAAUGAAAUCACGCGUCUCUGAACCCAAUUAUCUACCCCUCUAAAGAUACCUCUUUAGCCUUUGCAAUCAAAUAAAAUACUCUUACUCUCGCUUCUCUCUAAGGUUGUACUAUAUCCCACUAUUUUUUCCUUCAGUAUGACUCUAGCUCUUUUACAUUCUAUUCGAGUGGUGUCCCACCAUAUCUUAAAAUUUCCAUACAACCACGUUACUCACCAAAUAUUAGAAAACCACACCUUAAAUACUCGCAAGUCGUAAUUACUAUACAAAAUUCACUUAACCAACAAUCUUAUUAUAUAGUUGCAUCCCGUCACAAUCCAUCCCGAACUCUUAUUACCAUUAUGCUCAGUUACCCCUGACUAUCACUAUGAAGUCAACCUUUUCAUCGACAUGACACCUCAAACUCAGGAAUACCCAUCAAAUUCAAAGGACUAACCUAAUUUUAUACGCACUUUUUUACUAAAAUCUUAUAAUGCCUUCACCCAAGUAUACUCGAUGGGACUUUCUUUAUCGACAAGCUUUUCAUUCCGAUAUCAAUCCACUCCUUUAUGGCUUAAGAUAAAAUCACUUGUCCUUGUACUACCAUCCUUCUUCUUAACAAACAAGAUAGGAGCACCCCACGGGGAAGCACUAGGACGGAUAAAACAUUUAUCAAGAAGCUCAUGGAUUUGAGCCUUAAGCUCUCUCAAUUCUACCGAAGUCGUGCGAUAAGGAGGAAUGUAGAUGGGGUGAGUGCCAGGUUGCAAGUCAAUGCACAAAUCUAUAUCUCUAUCCGGAGGUAUACCAGGCAAAUUGGUAGGAAACACUUCCUUGAAUUCAGACACUACAUGAAUAGACUCAAUAGAGGGAGGCUCAACAUCAACCUCCCGAAUAGGAGCUAAAUAUGCCAGACACCCUAGCCCCACCAGUUUCCUAACCCGUACGAAAGAUAUGACCUUAGCUGGCUUAGGCUUGUACACCCCUUCCCACUCUAACCUUUCCCUACCCGGGAUCUCUAGAAUCACAGACUUAGCAUUACAAUUAAGCACAACAUAAUAGGGGGACAACCAAGUCAUGCCUAAGAUUAUAUCGAAGUCAGUCAUAUCCAAAAUAACCAAAUCAGCCCAAGUCUGAAAACCUAUAAACAAAAUAGGAAAAACACGAUAUACCUGGGUGACUAUGACCGACUCUCCAACUUGGGUAGAAACAUGGAUGGGGGCACCAAGCACAUCACAAAUUACAUCAAUUUCUAAGGCAAAUUGAACUGACAGAUAUGAAUAAGUAGAACCCGGAUCAAAUAGACCAGUAGACAUUUGGUCACAUAUAAGAAUAGCACUUGUGAUCACUGCAUCAGAUACCUCAGCCUCGGUUUUGCCCGAAAAGGCAUAAAACUGAUCCCUGUCAUCUUGAUGGGCAACCUCCUUGCCUGGCGGCACUACUCCCCUACUUGUAUUACUAUUUCCCGGGCCUCCAUAGCCUUGCUGAUUUCCUCCUCUUAAGCCCAGGUUCUCCACAAUUGUAACACACUUAAUAACUUAACCAAGUAAACAUCACUGCUAUUGUAGUAGUUGUAUCAUGACCCCCUUUGAUAUACACUCAAUCUAGGAAAUCGCAGUAGAGAUUCUAACCUCAAUUGUCGCAAUAUAAUUUCAUCAUUUUAUAAGCAACCCAUACAUGUUAUGACAACAAUACUAAAUGUAUUUUCCAAAGUGAUGGUGUUCAUGAUAUAGCCUUCCCUUACAAAACUUUUUGAAUGUUGUUACCUUGGUAAAGUCUUAUGACUUCACUCCCUUCUAUCUCCGUCACAAAAUCAACCACUUCCUGAAAGUAUUUUCCUAAAGUAGCCACCUAUAAGCUUGAAUCUGCAAAUCUGACCUUAAUCCCUUCACAAAACGAUGAAUUUUCUCUUUUAGACUAAAGCAAAAUGGAGUACCAUAUUUGGAUAAAACACAAACUUUUGCCUUAAAGGCUGCAACAAAUAUAUUAUGUUUCUGUAUAUUCAGGAACUCAUCUCUCCUCCUAUCCCUCAAUGUUCAGGGUAUAUACUUCUCCAUACAGAAAGCUAUAAAAUGUUUCCUAAGUCAUAAGGAGUGCAUUUACUUAUCGGCACUCAACAUGAGACCACCACCAUAUUUUGGUGUCUCCCUUGAACUGGUAUAUCAUAAACUCAAUGCCAAAUCACUCUAUCUUAUCCAUCUUAUGAAACAGCUCAUGACAACCAACAAGAAAAUCAUAAGAAUCUUCAUAUUCAGUACCCAUGAAGAUUGAAGGUUUGAACCUUAAGAACAUAAUAAAAACCUUAUGUUUGUCACUAGUCAUUAUAUGCCCACAUUGAAUCAGGGAAACAUGCUUAUUUGGAAGGAUGCAUCCUCUCUUGCUAGUGUUGGUGUUACCACUUCUGUUGCUCUAGUUCUGACCAUAGAGUGAAGGAGGAAAGAUACCAAUUUGGAUCACCUAGUGUAACACCCCGUAGCCUAAAGAAGGAAACCUAGCCAAUUUUCAGAACCUCCAGGUGUCACCCACGAGGUCCAAGCACUCCCCGUGGUUAGACCCACACCCCAUAGGUGGGCCUCAUGGAUGGACACCAUGAUGCAAGGCAGUAACCACGGCCAGGACCUACACCCCGUGGAUGGCUCCACGGCCCUUGGUUGGGAGCCAUAGGUCCAGGGCUCAAAUUUCAAGCCCUAGACCAUCGAACCACGCUUGACCAGGAUGGACCGUAAGUCCAUCCACGGUCCGUCAGUCGUGGUCUCGUGGUUGGUCACUAGGCAAUUAUUUUGGGGACUUAAGGGUUUUUUCCGGUUUUAAGUAAAUCAAUGUGGUGUCGUUUUGCCUUCAUCUAGACCACCUAUAUAAGUAUUUUUGACCCCCAAAAUCCCCAAUUAAGUCAUUCUCUCAAAUCCCAAAAAGAAUUCCCAAAACUCCUCUAAAAAAAUCUCUAUUUAGAAGGAAGAAGAAGAAGGAAAAGAAGGAAGAUAGGUCAAGUUAAAUUCUCCAAUCUUCAAGCUUGUGAGGGCAUUCUAAAAAAAUUCUCCCAUGGAGUCCCCUAGAAUUCCCCCAAUUUGAUGAAGAAUUCCCCAAUUCUAGUUAGGGUUUCUUCCAAUGUUGGGUUAUGAUGAAUGUCGAUCCAAAUAGUUGAUUUAUGAUUGUUUAUGAUUGAAUUGAUAGAAUUACAUGUUUUUAGGAUGAAAUUACAUGUACCGAUGCCUACUCCAUGAUGUGACCUAGAAUUGAUAUAGUUGGGUUGACCAUGAAGGGAAACGUUGUGGGUUUAGGCUUAUCCUUAUAGAAUUGAUGAAGUAUGAUUAGAAUUGCUUGAGAAUGUAGCUUAGAUGAUGAUCAUAAGAUCUAGGGCUUGGAGAGUAAUGCUUAUGAUAUGAAUGGUUGGUAACUAAUGUUAUGGUUGAAGAAGGGAUACUUCCCACAUGAAUUGCGUACUUAUGAAUAUAUGAAGGUGAAAGACUUACUCACAUGAAUGAUUCUAGGUUUUAAAGGAUUGCAUACCUAAAAUGAAUCUAGACUAAAAUGUUAAAUGAAUGAUGAGGCUAGAGGCGACUACCCUUGACCUCUAUAUUGAAGGAUAUAUGGUGAUUUCACAUACUCCUUAGAAGUGAACAAGAGGUGAUUCCCUAUAUUCCUAAAUGAUGAAUGGACAUGGAGGUGAGUACCUAUGAUCCUUAUGAUAUGAUGUGAAGGCGAGUACUCAUGUCAUAUGAUGUGAUUGUGGAGGCGAGUACACAUGAUCUUAAGGUAAGUAAGGAAAGAGGCAAAUACUCGUUAGCCUUUGAAAGUUAGACAAUGAGGUUAAUCCCCAUGUCUUUUAAAGUAAGUAUGAACGAUAUGAUUAUGUUAUGAAGAUGUUUAACUUGGAGUGUUGCUAGAUAUGCCUUCCAUGAUGUAAGCUUGACUAGAGGUGGAUGACCCACAUAUUGACUAAGGUUAAGUGAGGUUACCCAAGGAAGUAUUUCUCUCUUAUAAUGAUGCCUAUUAUGUCAUGAUUAUGCUUAUGCCUUAUGUCAUAUGUUGACUAAUGCUUAUGUUUAUGUUGUUUAUGCUAGCCAUAAUAUUUAGUACAUGAUUGUACUAACCCAUACUCUUGCAUACAUUCUUAUCAAAUGUUGGGUACGGUGAUAUAGAUUCUCACACUCAUGGCUAGCUACGUUGUUGAUCAAGGAAGUGAAGAUUUGGUGAGUCCUCAUUGUGUUCGAGGAUGUGAUCACCCUUUUCUCUUUUGUGUUUCUUUAUGUCUUGGACUAUUGUAUGGGAUGCGUCCCAAGACUUUAUCCAUGUUGUUUUAGAUGGUUUGAGACUAUGGUAUUAGACUUUCGUUCGUUUUAUGAAAAAACUUCGAUUGUAAUGAAAUGCUUUAAAUUUCCACACCAUUUUUUACUACUUUAUGUUAUGAUAUGCUAAAUGACAUGUAUGAGGCCUCUCAGGAUCUUGUAUGCCUUGUUACAUUAGGGGGUACCCCUAGGUCGUGACAAACUUGGUAAUCAGAGCACAAGGUUUAGAGCGGUUCUAAGAUGUCUCAAACCACGUCUAGUAGAGUCUUGUUCAUAAGUGUGAAGAGCUCUACAUUUAUGAAUUAGAGGCUAUUAGAUGUUUAGGAAACUUAAGUUCUUCAUUUCUCUAAGUCGUGUCAUGGAGUUUAACUAUAUAUGUUUUUCUCCUAAUCCUUACCCGAUGGUUUUCAGGAUAUGACUACUAGAAGGGCUAAUGCUAGAAGGAUCAAGGGAGGCAAUGUUGAUUAAGAGGUUCCUUUUCAACUUUGUCACGACCUAGACCGUCGUGAUUGACACCCACACUAACCCUCCGGUGGGCGAACCAUUACUACAACCCAACUAAGCAACUUAACUGAAAACUAAGCAUUUAAAGAUACAAAAGCAGGUUUAAAUGACAAGUAAAAUGGAGUUCCCAUAAACUCCAAAGGUUUAAUAAAACAACUAAACAAACUAUUGCGGAAGUUUAACCCCUGGAACCUGAAAGUCAUUGUACCAAAACUCUAAAUUCAACAAGUCUAAGAAAAAGGGGUACAACCCCAACCAAACAUAAGGAAUAUCUAAACCACUAGUCUGAGUCCAAAGAUAAUGAACUAAACAAAACUGAAGGAUCCAUGGAAGCCUGAAAGAACUGGCUCACCCUCGAAUCCGGUCUCGAUCAGUUAUCUCCUAGCUGAGCUAUCUGUAACCGCCUGAAGAUGCCUGUACUCAACAAAGAACGAACAAGUGCAAUAUCAGUACACAACCACAGUGUACUGGUAGGAUCAUGCAGCUACUCUAGUAAGCAAAAUACACGCAAGAAAUUACAACACAGUAAAUAUACAUAUACGAAAUACAUGGAUCAAUUAUCAUUUCAAAAGCAAUAUACGGUUCCCAUUAUCAACGACAAUACAUAUGAAUGUAAUAAUCAUAAUGGUCCUCUCAUGGAACACACACCUAAACUGUUAGUGUGUCGGAACAUGACACCUGAUCCAAUAUAUGUGUCGAAACGUGACACCUAAUCAAAUAUAUGUGUCGGAACGUGACACCCAAUCCAAUAUAUGUGUUGGAACGUGAUACCCAAUCCAAUAUAUGUGUCGAAACAUGACACCCGAUCCAAUAUAUGUGUUAGAACGUGACACCCAAUCCAAUAUAUGUGUCCAAAUGUGACACCCAAUCCAUUAUAUGUGUCGGAACGUGAAACCCGCUCCAAUCAGCACAACCACAAUCACAAUCACACCCAUAAUGAACAUUACUCAUAAUCAUACAAUCAAGUAUUAGGUUAAUGGCAUGCAAUUGUUGAUUCAUACUCAUUUUCAUUAGGUUUGAUCUACAUUGCCUCAAUUACCAACAUAUAUCACACAAACAGGAAAUCAAACCAUCACCUACCUCGAAACCAAGCUUGAAUCCUCCUAAGACACUUGAGCCUCCUCUUUCUGAAUUCUUUCCGCUUGUUCUUGGUCUAAAAACAAUCAAUUAAUGGAAUUAUUAAUAAACAAUGCCUAAUUUACCCGAAUAAUAAUUAAUCUAUCUAUCCAUGGCCAAACCCAAGAUCCUAAUGUUCAAUUAGGGAUUUUUCCCACCAUUAACUUCAGGUCAAAACCCUCCCCCAAUGAUAAUUACCCAAGAAUCUAAGUUCUAAGAUCGAAAAUGGAUUAGGGGAGCAAUGAUCUUACCUUUAGUGCUAGAAAUGGUGGAAAACUGUCAAGUACUUGCCCUGGGUCGUCUCUUAGCUCUCAAGAAUGAACUUUUGCAAAAAAUAACGAAAUUGGGGGUUUUUACCCGAUUUAAGUCGCAACUGUCCCGCUACAGCGACCGUUCUCUGGCGGGACUAAUCUCGCUCUGGCGGCUUGCACGGAGACAGAAGGUCGGAAUUCUAGUUUCAAGCUCCCAUUUCACAACACACCGUCAACCCUUGACGUUCAAAAACGACGGCCAAGAUCAGUUUCGGGAGUUCUACUCUCCCGAAUUCGAUUAUGUGAAGCCAUAUGAGCUCCUUAACAUCUUGGCUACCCACUCAUGUGAUCAAAUUCAUAAUUAAAUCUCUCUUUCAUUACCAGAUUUCCCUAGACCUUACGUGACUCAGAUUUCGUCCAAAUCUGGACUAGGUUAGAAAUUUCCAAGUCGCUACUCAAAAGUUUUCUAGCCUAAUUUUUUUCCCCAUUGGCUUUUCCAUAACGACGGGAACAGGUCGUUACAUUUAUGUAGAGAUUUUUGGAUUCUUUUAAAUUAUUAUUAUUAUUAUUAUUAUUAUUAUAGAUGAUGACUAUUAUUAAAUUAGAUAUUUUAAUUAAGAAUUAAUCUAAGGAAGUGCAAAAUUCGUUAAUAUGUUAAUUAAAAUGAUACAAUUUAAUAUUUAAAUUAAAUACUUCAAUAUUUUGUAACAUUUUAAUUUAUAGUAGGGGUAAAACCGUAAUUGAAUUUUUAACUUUUUUUGUUCCCACAUAUAGUAAUAUAUGAGGUUUAAGUCAUCAACAACCACUCAAAGUUGUCCGCAUAUUUCAUUUGGACACCUCAAUUUAACCUUAUACCUAUUGAACAAUUUUACCUGCUUUAAUUUAAACCAUUUCAACACUUUUUUGAUAAUCAACUAAAAGUAUAAGAUGUGUGUAAUAAAUUAUAAAGAAAUUGAUGAAUGACUAAGGUACAUGUGGCAUUUUGAGCCAAAUAUUUAUUAAAAAUUAUAAAGAAAAGAAAAAAAGAAGGAAAAAACUCUUUGUCCACUCUACCAUGGACCUUCAGCCUCCUUUGAGCCACUUUCACCACCGUCUGAUUUCUUUUUCAAUUUGAUUUUGAAGAAAAAAAAUUGAAAGAGAAAACUACAUAUCCUUCCGCGAUUUCUUCAUUUUAUCGUUUUGUUAAUCGUCUCAAUUUCUAAGAUAGUUGAAAGAAAUUCAACCAUUAAUGGUGAAAUUGAGUUUGUUUAGUGAAGAAAAUUUUCAACUCUAGAAAAGGAUGUCACCCCCCUAGCCUACAACCUGGGUGGGACUAGCACUUAAAGACCAUUGCUGGCCCCAGGCGAACCCUUGGCCUGGUUUACUUAACUCAGCAGAAGACAAUAGUUAUAUCUAUAAUGAUCAAUGAACUUAACUGAACUUAAUAAUGAAAUAACUGAGAAUGUUUAAAAAAUUAAACAUUCAACUUGGCCAAAAGUGGCAACCUAAGUCUUUAACAUAAGAAUGAUAAUGCAAAGACUACUAGACUACUAACUGUCUAUAAAGCCUCUAAAACAACUGAGAUGGAUGUUGGGACAAACCCCGCAACAUCCUAAUGAACUAAACUAGAAAGCGAAUAAAAAAGUCCUCCGGAAUGCAAUAGACUCUGAAUGCUCAGGCUGGAUCAACGAGGUGCUGAAUGUUGAUCCUGGUUAUAUACGUCUGCAUCAUAAUAAGAUGCAGGCCAACUGGCAUCAGUACAUUGAAUGUACGAGUAUGCGAGUUGGAAUGCUAACAAACAUAGGCUCGAAAGAUAUUAUAAAAAAAACACUUACCUGGCUCUUCUCAACUCAUGGAUACUCAACUCAAUAUAAAGCAAUAAAAAACAUGCGAUAUAUAUAUAACUUAUAAAACAACUGAAAACAAUCUUAGUUCGUUAAAGAUAAAGCAAUAACAAACUUAACUUUACUCAUUUAAAAAGUAAUAUAACUUAUGUGGGAGAUUCUCUAACCGACAACCAUCACUAUGAGCCUAAGUGAUGGUACAACGUCUUACCUCGCGUUGCCAAGGACCGUCAUAUACCUUGCCAUCAGUAUAGAAUAUGAACUCGCAUCCCCAUAUCGGUGCUCAAUACUACUCCAAAAAUAUACUUAGCUCAUAUGUUUUUAAAACAACUUCUUCUCUAGUUUGAGAUAAUUGCUCAAACUUAGCUUAAAAAACUCUCUUGGAAUCAAUGUGAAAACAUUUACUCUUGGAAAUACUUAGUUCCCAUAUAUCAUUUUAAAUAAAAUGAACUUUGCUCUUACUCUUUACUCAACUUCAAAACUUAAGUCUUAAAACAAAGUUAAAGCGUUUGUAAAAUACUUGUGAAAACUUUAAAUGAACUUCUCUUACUUGACUCUUGACUUCUCUUGACUUUGAUCUUAACUGUUCUUGACUUGACUCUUAAAUGAUCUUGAUUUGACUCUUAACUGAUCCUUGAAUUGAAUUAUGGAUUCAAGGAUUAUGAUUGGUGUUUGGAAAGAUCUCAGGUUGUUUAGGAAUGAUUUUAGAUAGCUAAACAUGAGAAAAGACCAAAAAUCAAGAUUUGAAGGUGAGUCCGCGAUGCGGAGGCAUAAUUAAAUUUUGGUUUCGAAAACGUCUUUUGAGGUAGAGCACCUCGUGUCAGCUCCGCGAUGCGGUGCAUAAUUUGUCAAUUCUGGGAACAGGUCGCGCGACACGUUCCUGUACUCAAAUUUCGUCCGAUGAAAUUUAUUCUUCGUUUUCCAGACCCAAAUCACCCAACCUUGGUUCUUUUUCUCAUAUUACCUUUAGAUACAGAUACCCAGCAAAUGUACCUAAGAACCUAACUCGAAACGACUCUAUAAUGCAACGUAACGAACUUAGAAACUUCUCAAUUCAUCCCAAUUCAAGAACAACAUUCAAAGUCAAGAAUUCAUUUCAAGAAUAUCAACUUUCAAACUCUUUUAGGACGAAUUUCUCUAAACUAAUCAUGUUUGGCGCGUGGGUGAAUGAACGCAACGCUAUGAGAAACUCAUAUACCUUGUAGGGCAAAUUCCUUGGCGAAUCCGCAACCAAAAUCGAUCGUUCUUGGCGAAUCUUGCUUUUCCUCUUCUCCUUUCUCUUGCGUUCUUUCUCCAAAAGCCCUAACUCUAUUUCUCCAAAGUGUAAACUGAACUAACUCAGUUUUGACCCCAACUAUUUAUUAAAAACGGAUUUAAUUAAUUGGGUAAGAAAAAGACCAAACUACCCUUCAAAAGUCCGGAUUGGGCCUUUCCUUAUUCGAACAGUCCAACUUCCAAAGGGUAUAACUCACUCAUAAGAACUUGGAAUCACAUAAAAUUGGUGGCGUUGGAAAGAUCAUUCCAAGAGCAUUCCAACCAUAUCUGUAACUACACCUAACUUAUCUUGAGCUAGGAUUUAUGGUCAUUUGAAGUUGACCGAAAACUCACUUUAGCUUACUUGAAAUUUUCCAGAUAUCCUUAUACUUUCCAAAAAUAACUAUUUCCAGAUUUUAAACUUCCUUCUAGUUCUUUCUAGUUGCGAGAUGUUACAAUAUCUCCCCCUUGGGAACAGUCGUCCUCGAAUGAGAUUUACUCUUACUAAGCUAAGGGUGGUAACAUCAAGUUCAAACAUCCCAAAAGUAAUUUCAAACAAAGAACAUGCUCACUCAUAAUUUAGAUAGUUCUAAGAAGAAAAUUAGUACCUUGGUCUGCAUUUUCUCCGGUUUCAAAGAGAUGUGGAUAUCGCUUCUUUAUAUCCUCUCCAGCUUCCCAAGUAGCUUCUUCAACAAAUUGACUCCUCCAAAGGACUUUGAUUGACGUAACCUCCUUUGUUCUCAACUUGCGAACUGGACUAUCUAGAAUUUGAACUGGAAUAUCCUCAUCAGAUAGACUAUCCUUGAUCUCAAUAUCUUCAGUUGAUAUGAUCAAUGAAGAAUCACCCAUGCACUUCUUCAACAUGGAGAUGUGAAACACCGGAUGAACCGCUAUUAAUUCCUGUGGUAGCUCUAACUCAUAAGCUACAUUGUCAAUCCUCUUGGCUAUUCUAUAAGGUCCAAUAUAGCGGGGACUAAGUUUCCCCUUCUUACCAAACCUCAUAACACCCUUCAAGGGUGAAACUUUUAAAUAUACUCAAUCAUCUACCUCGAACUCUAACGCCCUUCUCCUAACAUCAGUGUAGGAUUUCUGACGACUUUGUGCUGUUUUCAAUCUUUCUUGAAUUACUUUCACCUUCUCCAUAGCUUGAUGAACUAAAUCUGGUCCUAUCAACCCUGCUUCACCAACUUCAAACCAUGCAAUAGGAGAUCUGCAUCUUCUCCCAUAAAGAGCUUCAUAAGGAGCCAUUUGGAUGUUAGAGUGAUAACUGUUGUUGUAAGCAAACUCAAUGAGAGGUAGGUGAUCAUCCCAAUUCCCUUUGAAAUCGAUCACACAAGCCCUCAACAUAUAUUCUAAUGUCUGAAUAGUGCUCUCUGCUUGCCCAUCAGUCUGAGGAUGAAAGGCAGUACUUAAGUUCACCUUUGAACCCAAGCCUUUCUAAAAAGUUUUCCAGAACUGUGCAGUAAAUUGUGCACCUCUAUCUGAAAUAAUGGAGAUUAGGACUCCAUGAAGUCUUACCAUUUCUUGAAUAUAUAACCUAGCAUAAUCUUCUGCUGAAUGGGUAGUCUUUACCGGCAGAAAAUGGGAUAAUUUUGUCAUUUUGUCGACAAUCACCCAAAUAGAAUCAUGCAGUCUGCGAGACCUUGGAAAACCUAUUAUGAAAUCCAUAUUAAUCAUCUCCACUUCCAUUCUGGAAGUUCUAUAUUCUGUGCCAAACCACCGGGCCUUUGAUGCUUAGCUUUCACUUGUUGGCAAUUUGGACACUUAGCGACAAAUUCAGCAAUGCCCUUCUUUAUGCCAUUCCACCAAUAAACCUCUCUCAAGUCACGAUACAUCUUUGUGGAACCUGGAUGAAUGGAAUAUCUAGAGCUAUGAGCUUCAUCCAUGAUCCUCUCUUGGAGUCCAUCCACUAUAGGUACGCACAAUCUACCUUCAUAUCUCAAUACACCAUCUCCCCCUUGUUCAAAAGCUGAUACUCUUUGCUUAUGAACAUUUGACUUUAAGUAUAGAAAAAUGGGAUCUUGGUCUUGCUUUUCUUUCACUUCUGACAUUAGUGAUGAUUCGGCCCCAUUCAUCACCACUAUUCCUUCUUCUGUGGAAUCCAUAAGUCGGACUCCUAAGCGUGCAAGCCUAUGCACAUCUUUUUCUAACUAUCUCUUUUCUUCCUCAACAUGGGCGGUACUACCCAUAGACAACCUGCUCAACGCAUCAGCAACAACAUUAGCCUUACCUGGGUGAUAAAGAAUACUCAUAGUUCCCAUAUAUCAUUUUAAAGAAAAUGAUCUUUGCUCUUACUCUUUACUCAACUUCAAAACUUAAGUCUUAAAACAAAGUUAAAGCGUGUGUACAAGACUUAUGAAAACUUGAAAUGAAAUUUUCUUACUUGACUCUUGACUUCUAUUGACUUUGAUCUUAACUACUCUUAACUUGACUCUUAACUGAUCUUGACUUGACUCUUAACUGAUCCUUGAAUUGAAUUAUGGAUUCAAGGAUUAUGGUUGGUUUUUGGAAAGAUCUCAUGUUGUUUAAGAAUGAUUUUAGAUAGCUAAACAUGAGAAAAGACCAAAAAUCAAGAUUUGAAAGUGAGUCUGCGACGCGGAGGCAUAAUUAAAUUUUGGUUUCGAAAACGUCUUUUGAGGCAGAACACCUCGUGUCAGCUCUGCGACGCAGAGCAGAAUUUUUCAAUUCUGAGAACAGGUCGCGCGACGCGUUCCCAUACUCAAAUUUCGUCGAACGAAAUUUCUUCUUCGUUUGCGAGACCCAAAUCACCCAACCUCGGUUCUUUUUCUCAAAUAAACUUUAGAUACAGAUACCCAGCAAAUGUACCUAAGAACCUAGCUCGAAACGACUCUAUAAUGUGACAUAACAAACUCAGAAACUUAUCAAUUCAUCCCAAUUCAAGAACAACAUUCAAAUUCAAGAAUUCAUGUCAAGAACAUCAACUUUCAAACUCUUUUAGGACGAAUUUUGCUGAACUAAACAUGUUUGGCGCGUGGGUGAAUGAACUCAACGCUAUGAGAGACUCACAUACCUUGUAGGGCCAAUUCCUUGGCGAAUCCGCAACCAAAAUCGAUCGUUCUUGGCGAAUCUUGUUUUUCCUCUUCUCUUCUCCUGCGUUCUUUCUCCAAAAGCCCUAACUUUGUUUCUCCAAAGUGGAAACUGAACUAACUCAGUUUUGACCCCAACAAUUUUAUUAAAAAUGGAUUUAAUUAAUUGGGUAAGGAAAAGACCAAACUACCAUUCAAAAAUCCGGAUUGGGCAUUUCCUUAUUCGAACUGUCCAACUUCCAAAGGGCAUAACUUAUUCAUACAAACUCGGAAUUGUGUAAACUUGGCAGCUUUGGAAAGAUAAUUUCAAGAGCUUUCUAACCAUAUCUGGAACUACACCUAAAUCAUCCUGAGCUAGGAGUUAUAGUCGUUUGAAGUUGACCAUAAACUCACUUUAACUUACUUAAAAUUUUCCACAUAUCCUUAUAAUUUCCAAAAAUAACUAUUUCCUGAUUUUAAACUUCCUUCUAGUUCUUUCUAGUUGUGAGAUGUUACAAAGGACUUCUGAAAUUGUUUGUUUGAAAUCAACACUUGUUAAAUUUCUUAAUUUUCAUCCUUUUUCUAAUCUUUGUUGUUGAAAGAAACAGACUUAGGCUGUUUCAAAAAAAAAAAUCAAUACAUAUUUCUGGAAAAGGGAUUUUGAAAUUGUGUUGUUUGUAGCUAAACCCAUCUCCAUUUUCUUCUUUUUAUCUCGUUGGUGUGUUUGGUGCGGAAGAAAAUUGAUCAAUUUCAGGUUGAAAUACGAUAGUGGUGAGGGAAAAAGUGGGGUAGCUGGCAAUAAGAUAGAAAAAAGAAGUGGGGAUGGUGGCGGCAGUAGCGGUGGAACCGGUGGAAAGGGUCGUGGAAGAAAUUAGGCUUAAUUAUGGAAGAAGUAACAAGAAAGAGAUUUUAAAAAACAACAAAAAUGGUCUCUCACACGCUCAAUAGCAGUGUAAUGCACUUUCCAUGCCACAUUAGCGAAAAGUGUUAAUAGGUACUUGUUUUGAAUAAUAUAAGUGUUCAAUAUAUCAUAAUUUAGUAGAGGUGUUCAAAUGAAAUACGCAGACACCUUUAAGUGGUCGUCGGUGACUUAAGUCUAAUAUAUGAUGAUAUGAUAUAUAUUAUAUUUAUUAUUAUUAUUAUUAUCUUCUAUAUUACCUUAAAAGCAUGAACUCCUAACUUGAAUGUUAAAUUACUAUAAUAUCCCUAACUUAGGUUGUGACUUUUUUGAUGAGUUGUGACUUUUUUCGAAGGGUUGUGAUUUUUCGAUGAGUUGUGACUUUUCCAAAGAGUUGUGACUUUUUCAACGAGUUGUGACUUUUUCAAUAAGUUGUGACUUUUCCAAAGGGUUGUGACUUCUCGAAAAGGUCAUGACUUUUCAGAUAAGAAACAAAAAAUAUUUGUUCAUACUACCCUUUGUUCAUAAAACAUUUUUCAAUCACAAUUUUUUUAAUCUUCUACUCUUCUUCUUGCAUUUUAAAUUUUUUUGUGUGAUUUAUAGUCGUUGAGUGAGUUCCAAUAAGUUUUGACUUUUUAAAAGGGUUGUGACUUCUCGAAAAGGUCAUGACUUUUCAAAUAAGAAACAAAAUAACAUUUGUUCAUACUACCCUUUGUUCAAAACACAUUUUUCAACCACAAUUUUUUUAAUCUUCUACUCUUCUUCUUGCAUUUUAAAUUUUUUUGUGUGAUUUAUAGUCAUUGAGUGACUUUGAAGUUUAGCGGAAUAUGAGGUACCACUAUUCUGAUGAGGUAAGUCGUUCUAUCCUAAGAGGGUUAUUCCAUAACCUCAGGUACUUGAGGAAAAUAAUUUUGAUGAUAUAAUAAUUAAUUUUUUGCUUAAUAUAUACAUUAGUAUGUAAUGUUCCAAUAUAUGAAGUUAACAUGACAUACUCUAAAUUCAUUUUUUUUGUCAACAAUUUCUCUUGAUAUGUAGAUAUAUGCUUCUGAAUAUCUUUUCCAAAAUUUAGAGAUUUGUCAUGUUUUAUUUUUUAUGCUCAAGACAAAAGAAUGAUUUUAUUUAUCAAUGCUACUUAUGUGAUUUAAACUCUAAUGAAGUUUGCUUCAAAAUAGUUAUUACUAUAUAAACAUUGCCCUUUUGUUUUACUUAUUUACUAUUUCUGAAUAUUUCAGUAUUUUAGACGAAGAAAGGUUUAUAUGACGUGUAAUAACGCCAACUGAAGUUUGUAUUAGUUUAAUUUUUAUUAUUUAUUUAAUAGUUAAUUUUAUGAUAUAAAUUUUUUCAUUAAUGCAAUUAUAUAUUUAUAUUUGGGUAGGUAUUUGUAUUUAAAUUAAAGUAUUAUAUACGUAACAAAUGUAUUAUCAAGUUAACAAGAUCUUCUAACAUAAAAAUAUAUCAUUUUAAAAUGUUCCAAGUUGUUUUUUAAAAAAAAAAUCCCAACAAAUGUAAAAAUAUGUGAAUAUAGAAAAUGUAGUUGUUCUCUUCACAUGUUCAUAUGACAUCUAAACAAUUUAACGUGGAAUACACAUGCAAAGCACAUCUUGUUAGAUGACAAGAAAAAUACAAAGCGAAUAUUGUCUUUAAGGUAAUAUUAGUGAGAUAAGACUAAUAACAUAAUUGAACCUCAUCAAAUUGAAAUAUAUAUAUACAUUAUUGCAUUUAACUAAUAAUAUUUUUCAUUGAUCCUCUUUAUAGGUUUGCGUGAAUAAGAGAUGUAUAUGACGAUCCACGUUGAACAUUCACAAAAGAAUCUGCAAUAUUAUAUUUAUUAUUAUUAUUUAUACUAAAAGUGGGAAGCCUCUAUGUCUAAAGUUGAACUACGAAAAUACACAUAAAUAAUUGAUAACAAAUUUAAUUUAUUCUUCACAUAAUAAAAAUAAAGUUAAAAAACUGUAAACCAAAAAACCUUCACUGUGUACAUUGAAUCUAAAAGUAAAAAAUUGUUUCGUAUUCCCAGAAUAUUUAAUGCAUCUUUCAAUUGCUUCUUUAUUACAUGUAAUUAUUUCAUUAUUAAUGUUUUGUUUCUCUCAUCUUUGAUGAUGGUAAUAACCUUUUCAAAUUCUUUACAACAUUCUAUAACCUACGUACACUUUUAAUUGUCAUAGUUAUCAUUUUUAGAGUCAAACUAUAAAAACUUUAACCAACAUUUAUGUAUUUUUUUAUCAUAUCAAUAUGCAAAAAAUUGCAAUUUAUAGUACUUUUGUGUAGUUUUUGAGUAUCUAAAUUUUUUGUUUAAAAUAUUGAAUUAAAUAUAAUUUAAUUUUACUUUGAAAAUUAGUCAAAUUGACUUUCGAAAAGCGCAACAUGACAAAUAAAAGUGGACAGUGGGAUUGUAAUAUUAUUUGUGUCUUACAUACUUUUCACUAAUAUUUCAUACGGUUAUCUUGCCUAAAGUCCCUUUUUAUUUUGUAUAUAUUUGUGCUUUAUUUUCUGGCUUUGUAUUUUAUAAUAGAUUUGUUGGAUUGCAAUUAUUUUUGUCUUUUUGAUUAUAAUCUCUUGGAUUGUUUCUCAAAAGUUUUUCCUUUAGUAAUUUUGUGCUUUAAUAGCGAAGAUUUGGAUUAGAUUAUGAAAUGACAAUUUUUUGUAUUAAAAUUACAUAUGCUUGAAGAUAACGUCUACAUAGAAAUUGAAACUCUUGAUUCAAAAAAAUAAUAAUUAAAUAGUAGGUCUCACACUGUCUCUGUAGUUUGUGGUACAAAUAAUUAGUAAAUAACAGCAAGAGCAAGUAAGAUUAUUAUUUUCCAUAAAAGUUAUGUUUUUCACAAUUGUCAAGACGGGUAACUACAAACUAAGAAAUCUAUUUGGCAUCACACAUUUAUGUGACAACAGUUUGGUAAUAGCUUGGGCUUAGCACCAAACGGAGGCUAAUUAUUUUAUAUUAUUUUCAUUCUCUUGAAUAAUUGUCAAGUCUCACAAUAACUUUUUAGAGAUAUAUAAGUACAUUAUAUUGUAUAGCUUAAUUAGUAGGAACAUAACAUAGUAUAACUUCUGAGUUUAUUCCUAAGGAUUUAAGAAUAUGUAAUUAUGAUAAAUUUUUAUACAUCUUGAACUUCUAAUAUAUAUCUCAAUUAAAUACUUCUAAAAUAUGUAUAACAUUUUAUAACUAUAGAUAAACCGUUUAAAAAUAAUACGAUGGGUUACACGUGAAAUUAGAAGUAGAAGGCCCUCAAGUUAAAAAUUGAAUUAUCAAAAUGUCCUUAUAAAGUUAUGACACAAAUGUAAAUGUACAUUAGUUGUAUUAAAUAUUAUCACAUUCUAUAUAACACUAUUGCUAUAUAUUUAUGAAUAAAAAUAUAAAUACACAAACACACACAUAUAUACACACACGCCCGCGACUUUUUCACUUCACUUAAAAUUACUCUUACAAUAAUUUAUACAAAAAUUGAAAAUAUAUAUUGUAAUAAAAAGAAGAAAAUUAAUUGACAAUAAAUACAAAUUUUAUGUCUCUUUAUAUUCUCGUGAAUCACGAGUUUGUAUUUGAUGUAGCUAUUAACUUUCUCUUAUUUUCAUCAGUCUCGCUUACUAUAUAUAUAUUUAGAAUAACUUUAGAUUGUAGAAUUAUUUUUCAUUUUGGUGCUUGUUUUAUCUAUAUACUACCUCCGUCCACUUUUACUUGGCAUGUUGCACUUUUCAAAAGUCAAUUUGACUAAUAUUCAAAGUUAAAUUAGAUAACAUUAAUUCGAUAUUUUAAACAAAAAAAUUAGAUAUUCAAAAAUUAUGUGAGAAGUACUAUGAAUUUCAAUUGUUUGCAUAUUAAUAUGAUGAAAAAAUACAUCGUAAAAUGUUAGUCAAAGUUCUUAUGGUUUGACUCUAAAAAUGGAAACCAUGACAAUUAAAAGUGGACGGAGGGAGUAAUAAUUAAGAUCUAUAAUUUAGAAUAUCGAUUAUUUCCUAUACAAUUUUCACUUCCAAUUUAUUUAUUUAUUUUCUUUAUUUUCUUUUAAUGCUGUAUAUAAUCAUGUGUAUUAUAAUGUAGUGUUGUCACAAGAUUGAACAAUGAAGUAUUUUUGUUCAAUUGUCAGAUAUCAUAUUCACAUAUUUUGAACUUAACUAUCAAAUAGCUAGAAAAGUAUCACUUUCAUGUUUCUUUUUGUCUUUUAUUACUCAAUAUGUGUUGCAAUAAUCUUAGAUAAUUAUGUAAAAUCUUGUACAAGAUAAAGAUGUCCUCUAUGGUACAAUUUGCCUCAACAAAAACUGUACCUUUUCCAUUGCAGUUUACAAUAAGCUUUAUUCUUGGCUGAUUGUGAAUCUCUCUGCUAGUGGAUAAUAGUUCGUGGGACAACUGGACAUGCUAAGGAUCUUUAGCAACUUACACUCCUAACCAGUCACUUGAUCAGGAUUCAAGUGAAAACUUCAUCAACAAUCAGGUUAGGUUAGGGAUGAACAGAGACUUCAAAUCGUGUUGUCACAGUUGCUGGUUCAACAUACAACCAAUGUAAAAAUUGAUUCCAGUAGCAGAAGUGAUAUCUUGAUUUGGAGGCUACUAGUCAGUGACAGAGCUAGAAUUUUCAUUAAGGGUGUUCAAAUUUUGAAGAAGUGGACACACGAACUAUCUGAAGGGGGUUCUACAUCUACUAUAUAUAUAAAAAUUAUUCUAACCAUGUAUAUAGUAUAAUUUUCCGCCAGAUGAACCCCCUUGACCACAAGGUGGCUCUGCCCCUGCUACUAGUGAUGUUGUAUAAUUCAGUUUGGAAUUGCAUAAGGGAAACUAGAGUGCCAGAUCCUAAGUGGACAAAAAAUUGACAUAAAAGUAUUCCAUUGAAAACGACUUUCUUGUCUUGGAGACUCACUCUUUAAUAAUGUUAUAUGUCGGUUUGGAAAUGGAAGCCCUCUAAACAGCCUAUGUUGUACUAUACAUAUUCCAGAAACUAUCAAGCUCCUCUUCAUUGAUAGUGAAGUGAGCCUGCAAAACAUUUGUGGAAUUUUUUUGGACAACAGUUGGGAGUCUUCCUCCACGAGUGGUGGCAGACACCUAGACAGAAUGCAAUACACAGAUUCAGCAAAUUCCAAUAUUAGUUUGGUGGGAGUUGUGGAAGACAAUGUUCUCUUCUAGAUAUGGAAACAAAACAGAUUUUAGAAAAACAAAGAUGCUAUGGACAAAGCUUUCCAACUUCAGAAAAUGGAUCUUCACUAGAGUGAACUAUGUCAAAUGGUAGAAAAGUUGAGACCAAGUAUUAAUCGCAAAUUGUGGUCUGGAACAAACUGUAACAGAGGAUAAUUAAACUUAACACAGAUGAAAGUUUUAUGAAGGAAAGGCUGGCAUAGUAGGAGGCAUGGCCAGAGACAACACUGGAGAGUUCAUCUUUGCGUUUUCUAUUCCUAUUCAGUGUAAAGAUAUUAUGUUGCUGAGGCAGCAGCUUCUAAGUAUGUUGUUCAGCAGCUGAAGAAUAAUGGGCAUCAACAGGGCAUAAUUGAUUGGAAUGCUCGAUCAUGGUUCAUAUGAUGAAGAAUAGAACCUCUCAAAACCUCAACCUGAAGAGUAUCGUGCAUGAGAUUGCUAAUUAAAUUGGGAAUGCUUUUUUUGCUUUGCUCAUUGCUACAGAGAAGCAACAUAGUGGUUAAUCGUCUUGCUAAAUUACCUUCAACAAGGAAUGAACCCAUUUUAUAAAACAGGAUAGAUCAAUUGCCUAGUGGGGUUAAAGGAGCUUAUUUGCUGGACAAGACACAAUUACCUAGCAUAAGGAUAAGAUACGACAAACACCACUUUUUUGUAUGCUAGUUAAAGGAGCUAAUUUGCUGGACAAGAUGCAAUUACCAAGCAUAAGGAUAAGAUAUGACAAAUACAAUUUUUUUGGAAGUUAAUUUGUAUAGCCUUUAGAUAUGCAGGAAGGUAAAAUAGUGAUAUGCUUAAACAUUCUCCUUUUGCCUGGAUUGCUUUGCGAUUUCUGAUGUGUAUUUUGGGUUAAGGCCAAGUCCCCAUUUUUAUGCUUCUACAUAAUUUAUAUACAUCGUCAAGAUCACAAUACAUGAUUUAUUUAUUUUUUUUAAAAAAUCUUUGACAAAGUUUUCCUGAUCACUUCAGCAGCAUUCUCAGUCCCAUUUUAUUCUAAUUUGAAACAGGUAAAUUUUCCGGACCAACACAUCUAUAAUUGAUCAAGAUUAAGAUCCUCAUAGUGCUGAAAAAUUAUACAUGGCAUUCUAAAACUAUCGAGCUACGAGUUCGGAUCGUAACCUAAAUUAACUAUUGAAUUGAACAUAAAUUAAUACAAAUUGAUCAAAAAAGACAAUGUAAAAUAAGCGUCAAAUAAUACAUUGAUCGUAAAUUAUUGUACUUAUUUCCUUUCUACUAAGCGGGUUCCGUAGAGUUGAAUACUUAUAUGAAUAGAGAGGAAAACAAACUUUCCCUUUCUGCCAAAAAUGUGAUUUUUAAAGUUGUUUAUUUACCUCUUUUAAUACGUCAAACUUAACAUUCUUCUCUUUUAGACGCUUGAAAUACUUUCAAAAAUAAUUGAUAACAUACAAACCUACCGUCAUCAUAAUGCAAUUGUCUGCCAUGAAAAGUCACAACCACCAACUUUCGCCGUAUAAGUUUUACUUUGAUGUUCUUGAGCCAUUGUUAUGGAUCUGCGUUCGCCAACCAGGUGGCUCAAGAUUUUUUUUUCUUUCAACAUAAGUGUGUAUCGUUCAAAUGAACUAAUUGAAAAUGUUCUUACGCUAUAUUUACUGCUCUUUUUAUAGAUGACAACACCAAAGCACGGGGGAAACAUCAAAGGAAAGGGUAAAUUGCCAAUCAAAUACAAACAAAAUACGACAAUACGACUAUUGUUAGAAUAUGCACAACGGAAGCUAUAUUCAGGAUCGCAAAUCUUACAUGUAGACUAAACAAUAUAACAUGAACGAAUUUAGAAGAAGACUAACCUGUUGAAGCUUCUACAAAAGUCAUCCAGAUGCCAAGGAUCUAGAGUUACGAUCUUCUCCUAUUUCCUGAUUGAUUGUUACUACCAAGUUACUUGUGUGGGUAAGUAUUACUUGUUUUUAAGAUGAUUUCUUUCAUGUCACAUCCAGCCUAUUUAUACUAGUUUUCCAACUCAAGAAUGAAUAGGAAAAACUAAAUAAAUUUCAGGCUUAAUGAGCAAUCAAGAGGAUCAUUCAAAAUGAGAAUAAAUUGAGAUUAAAACAAAAAAUGUUUUCAUCCAUUCAAGGCCAAACGUUUUUGUCAUUAACUCAAUAUUUAACUCUCAAAUAAUUCAUCCUUUAAAGAAGAUCAACAAUAAAUUAAUUUUGUCCUUCUUUUCAAACUUGGACAAUUAAUCAGGCAUAGUAGGGACCGUAGAUAUAUUUAAUAGAGGCUUCCAAUUACGAUAAUAAUUCUCAAAUGAACGAAUUAACCAUAUCGCAAUAAAUUACAAAUUAUUCCACUAAAAAUACUGUAAUUGCACUCCUCGAUUUAAUUUCGAAAUCUACCACUACAUCUUAUUUAACCCCAUGUGUUAGAAUUACCGACACCAAUCAAUUAAAUCAAAAUUUUCUGAAAAUUUAAUUCAUUGACUAAAUUAAUCCUUUAUUAUAUUUACUUAACUUAUUUCACAUGACGGAUAUAAAAUCCACCUGCAGGGUUUUCACAUGAAAACUUAUAAGAAACCAUAAAGGGGUGUCUUCAACUCGGGACCAAGACACGGUUCUAUCAACUAAUUAUUAUUUCACUAAAGUAAUUUGUCAUUAUCUAAUCUAUUAGGAAUUUAUUGACUCAUCAAAAAGUCUCACCUUUUAAUAGAUUAAAACAAUAAAAUAAAUUACAUAGAUCAUAAUAAUUAUAUCAAGAUUAAGAGUAUAAGUACAUGUAGUGGACUAGAGAAUUUAUUUAUAAAUAUUCAGAACAUAAACAAAUGUCUCUAAUUGGUCCGUUCAAUACAUACAAAAUGUACUAGCACAAGAAGUUGAAAUUUAACCAUUAUCAUAAUUAAGAUCAAAUUAUAUUUAAUCUUGUGCUACGAUCAUCAAGUUGUUCGUCCUACUUCAUCUUUGAUCAUGAACAUAAAUUUAUAACUUAUAUGCACCGAUAAUUUUAAUUUUCCGCGUAUGAGUUAAAAUACUCCAUACACAAAAUUGUCUACUAUAUAAGCAAUGGACACACAUAUAUACAUAAUGAUCUAUUUAAACAAAAAUUUAUUAUAUUAAAUAAAUAACAUAAAAAAUAGUUACAAGGGAUUAAAUAAAAAUACUACAACACAAUUACAUGGUUAAUAGUAUAUCCCAACAACUAUAAGCAAAUUGGAAUGCCCAAUAUGCAUAGAAUUGAUUGACGAGAAGUUGACCGAAGCUAGAGAGCACAUUAAAGCCUGUGAAGAAAAAAGGUAAGUUCAAACUGAUUAUUCUGUAACGCAUGAACUUAUACAACAUAAAUAGGGUCUAUUCAAGUACAAAUCCACGAGAUCUUAAUUUCUUGCUCAAGGUCAUAUGCAAUACUGUUGAGUUGCUACAAUAGUAUGACCUUAAAGCCAAUGUAUAACACGAUCUCGGAUGCAGAGUUUGUCAAUCUUGACAUAUCAGGGAAGCAUAGAUGAUACAACAUGAUCAUGUGGGAAACUACUAAGGAGAUGGAACACAGGCAACACAAGCCUUGAUGUGGUCUUUCCACCUGUUCGUGAAAACUGUUUACAAGAAAGGCAACUUAUGUGUACAUGCACGUGAGUAAUAUAUUUACUAUCUUUAUCCGUAAGUUUAUUAUAUAUGCAUGUCCAUGUAAAAAAUAUUUUUGUAGAUUUAUACGUGCUUCAAACUCAAGGUGAUGGUUUUGGAUAAACCCGCCUAACUAAAUUUGUCUAUGAACAGGAGCCGAGGCUUUGUUCCUUGACCAUUUUAUACCUUUUAAUACGUGGGACCCUCUCGGUUCUAGGUAGCGACAUAAUUGAUUUACUCAGUUUUUCCUUUCAUAUUCACUUUUUAAAAUAAAACCUUUUAUUCACAUACGCAAAUUUCAUUUCACUGCGCUGUGACAGUUCUGAUGAUAUUCAACUACAUAAUUUAUUUCAAGACCCGAUGCAAAUAUAUUUGGGUAUUCUGAUACGUAGAGAUAGAUUACAGUACAAAGUCUAGUUUUCUUCUUUGCUAAAAUUUCCUAUUAGAAGGCGAAGCCAAGAUUAAGAGUUUGGGGGUUCACAAGUUAAUAUAUAUAAAUUUAAUUAAUUUUCUAAUACAAAUAUAGAAUCUACGAAAAGCUAGUGGGUUCGUCGAACCCAUGAACCCCCACCUAGCUCCGCCUAUGAUUAGAAGUCCUGAAGUUAAGGGAGAAUUAGUUUUGUAAGACACUUACAAAUUAUUCUCUCAAUCAAUUAGAAUAAAGCAAAGGAUACAAUAUCUAGUAGUACAAAUUGAAUAAGGAAAAGGUCAUUGAAAACGAAAGAAAAAGGAAACGAAAAAAACUUAAAAGAGGUUACUUCGUUCUCUUCUCUCUCAACUUUUUCUUAAUAUUACUUCAAAUUCGAUGUGUUAAACAAGUUAGCCACGUGGAGCCAUUGCGCCAGAUCCUGGCCGGUGGCAUCGAUGGUGGCGAACGGCGUUUUUUGGUUGGAAGCAGAUGAGCAUUGCAUUAACAUGUAAACUGAUCUUGGGCAUAUUUAUAUGCCCAAGUUGUCAAUAAUUGCCCAUGUUUUGGUUGAAUUAAUAAAUGAUCUUCAAUUACUAAAUUGAUUUUUAUGUGUCUUGCAAUGAUUGUAUACUAACACACAUGAUUAGGUGUUUCAGGAAUAUUGGAGUUAAUAUGAAGAAAGAAGGAGCAAAGACGUGCGAAAAAGAAGCUAAGGCUGAAGACCCCAGGGCCAGGAGCACUACUAGGUGUGAGGCGCCAAGGGUCAACAUUCAUAGUCCUCUCUCAGGCAUACUGAGAGGCGCGAUGCUCCAAGGGCCAACAUUCUAAGGCCCUUCUCAGGCGCUCUAAAGGGCGCAACGCGCCAAGAGCUGAAAUUCUGGGACGCUUGCCUGGUGCACUGCCAGGCGCGACGCGAAAAGGUGGAAACUUCAUAAGUGAAGUGUGGGCGCGAUGAGAGGCGCUAAACCCCAGUGUUAUCCCAACUUUUUCAGCUUAAAAAGUGUUAAAUAGGAUUCCUAAUUGUAGUAGCCUUUGACUCCAAGUUUUACAACUCUUAUAAAUAGACCAUUAGGGCUCCAUAGUUAGGGUUCGACUUUUUAUUGGUGUGCAAGAGAAAGUAUCAACGUUUGUAAUAGGUUUUGAUCUUCUAACUCUUCUCUUUUCCAGAAAUCGCAUGAACAAUUGUAUUUUGUGGUUUUCUAAUAGCAUGAGUGGCUAAGCGCCCUAGUUAUAGGCUGUAGCUACGAAUUGAAUGUUGAUUAUUUAAGGCUUUUUCAAUUAAUUCUUGGUUGUCAUUAUAAGUUACUUUUAUAUUCUUGUUUUAGUAUUUCUUGACUGGCCAUCAAGAGAUAAAUCUAUUGUCUAAUUUUAAAAUCGAGAAAGAAGGGGUUAGAUAGACCAGAGAAUAUAGAGAGCUCGAUCGACCAAUUUGAUUGAGGUGAUUAGUGUUCAGGAGUGACGCUCGGAUGAACAACUUGCUUGGUUACGAAAUAGGAUGAAAUAUAAAUGCUUGCCAGUUAGUCUAUUUAUCCCCGCUCAAUGAUAUAGUUAGAUAACUAACUGGAGUAGGCGAAAAGAAGUGUGUAACCCGACUCAUACAAUUAACCCUAUAAACCAGUAACUUGACAACUAAAAUUAGUUCUAAGCCGAUAAUAUGAUAUAUGAGAUUCAUUGCAGGUUGCAGCCCUGGAAUUGUCUUUUACUUGCUUGGAACAUCAUCUUAACGUCGUUGACAAUUUGUUACUUUUAUUUGUUGCAACAUUAGUAGUAGUUAACAAUAGGGCUGGGCAGAAACACCGAAAAACUAAAAUACCGAACGAACUGAACUAUUUCAGUAUUUCAGUUUCGGUAUUUUGGUUUUCGGUUCGGUAUUCGGUGUAUGUUUUUGUAUUUUUCGGUAUUUCGGUUCGGUUUUCGGUAUGUAAUUUUUGUGUUAUUCGGUAUUUUGAUUUACCGAAAUAUAUUAUAUUAAAUAAUAAAUAUUAUAAUUUUAAUUAAAUUAGGUCAAAACUCUUAGUACAGUAGUACACCUUUUGGUCUUUUCAAAUUUUUUAAUUUUCUAACUUUCUAAGCAGCAACCGAACAAUUCUUAAGUUCUAUCACUACGCACAGUUCCACUUUCGACUUUCGAGUUCCCUCGUCUUUUCCACUUUGGCACAGUUCAACUUUCGGCGACUGGUGUCAACCAGCAGCAGCCACCAGUCCCGUCGACCAGCAACACGCACAGUAGUAGCAGCCGCCAGCCAACAGCCCCAGUCAACCAGCAGGGCGCAGGCAGCAGCAGGCACAGCAGCCGACCUCACCGCGCAGCAGCCGGUGACCGGCAAGCGACAACCAUCAGCUUUCAGGUAUUUUUUUCUUAUAAAUAUAUAAAAAUAAUUUUAAGUUUUUGACAUGCAUUUAGUCAAUUACUAGAGAAUAUUUUACUACAUUUGGAUUUUGGUCUAUCCAUUAAAAUAAACUAAUAAAGAUUUCAGAUUCGUAUUAUUUUUAAUUUUUAUAUUUAAACUCUAUUUUUUUUUAUUUUGAUUUGCUCAUUUGUAUAAUUGUAAUUUCCAGCAAAGGGUCAAAUCUCAGACCAAAACAAAAAAGAGCAAAAGUAAUAAAGAAAAAGAAACCACAAUGAAAAAUGCAACCAAUUAUCACUUUAUUUUCCUUAUUUGCUCCUUAAUAUUCUAAGUGUGAAUUCAUUGUGAAAUAAAUUUUUUUAUUAUAUAGAUGGCUGAACAAAAUCAAUCAAAUGUGGGUGUGGCUGAUCAAAGUCGAAUAAGUAUGGCUGGUUCUACGGAUAAUGCACCUACUAAUAACAAUGAUGCCUCAAUUGGCACAGAGGAAACAAAGCAAAAAAAGAAAAGAAAUGGAUCCUAGGUCUACUGUUUGGCAAUACUUCGAUUUUUUAAAAAAAAUGGUUUAUUAGUUAAAGCAAAGUGUUUACAUUGUAAACAAAACUAUGCUGCUAAUACAACUAGAAAUGGAACAAGUGGAGUAAGACAACAUUUGACUAACCGAUGUAAAGUGUAUAAGCCCUCGCCUGUUGCACCUGACAUUCAAAAAUUGCUAAAUAUUCAAAGUAACAGUUCUUCGAUAGAGACUUGGAAAUUUGAGCAAGAGGUAUGUAGGAGAUCUUUAGUUGAGAUGAUAAUUUUGGAUGAACUACCUUUUAGUUUUGUUGAAAAAGGCUUUAAGAAGUUUAUGAGUAAAGUCCAACCUUUGUUUCGGAUUCCUUCUCGUAGAACCAUAACAAGGGAUUCUUAUGAAGUUUAUGGUGAAUUGAGAAUGAAUUUGAAAAAGUAUUUUAGAGAAAUAGAACAAGAAUUUGUCUCACAACAUACACAUGGACCUCGGUGCAAAGAAUCAAUUAUAUGUGUUUGACUGCUCACUUUAUUGAUAGGGAUUGGGUGCUUCAUAAAAGAAUAUUGAAUUUUUGUCCUAUCACUAGUCAUAAAGGUGAUCAUUUGGCUGAGUGUAUUAGUAAUUGUUUACUUGAUUAGAACUUGCACAAUGUCUUUACUGUUACAGUUGAUAAUGCCUCUUCAAAUGAUGUGGCAGUUUUAGAGUUGUCCAAAAAAUUAGAUAUGUGGGGAACUAAUAUGAUGGAAGGUAAGCAUCUCCAUGUGAGAUGUAUGGCUCACAAACUUAAUUUAAUUGUGCAAGAUGGUUUGAAAGAAAUUGGUCCUUCUAUCAAACGGGUGAGACAAAUGGUGAAAUAUGUUAGAUCAUAGACAAAUGGUGAAAUAUGUUAGAUCAUCUUCUACAAGGACAAGAAACUUCUUGAAAUGUGUUGAAAUGCAAAAGAUAGAAUGUGAUAAAAUGUUGUCUUUAGAUGUGCGUACUAGGUGAAAUUCCACCUAUUUGAUGUUGGACAUGACAUAAAAGUUUGAAAAGGCUUUUGAGAGGUUUAAUCUUUAUGAUGGUAAUUUUAAUUCUUUUCCUGCUACUACUGAUGUUUGUGAAGAUGGAAGUAUUGAAGGUUCAAUUCAAUAUGGGAUUGGGCUAAUGUGAGGAAUAUCACAAAGUUUCUUGAAAAAAAUUAUGAGCUCACAUUGAAUGUUCCAGGUUCACGGUAUGUUACUUGUAAUGUUCAUUUCGAGGAUAUAUGAGAGCUUGAUGCAUAUUUGAAAGUAUGUAUGACAAGUGAUGAUGUUGAUUUGAGUAAAAUGGCUUCGGGGAUGAAAGAAAAGUUCAAGAAAUAUUGGGGUACUCCAGAAAAGAUGAACACAAUGCUUUUUAUUGCUUCUGUUUUGGAUCCUCGCAAUAAAUUUAUGUAUGUUAGUUUUGCUCUUGAAGAAUUACUUGGGGAAGAAAAGGGAAAGAUAGUGAAUAAUGAAGUAAAUGCUUACUUGAAGAAUUUGUUUGUGAUCUAUGUAAGUAAGUAUGCAAAAUGUUCUAAAAAUCAAUCAUCUUCAUCUGAUUCAUCUACUUAUGGUCUCUCUCAAAAUGUGAAAACAAAUUCUUUGAGAACUAAGUUUUACAUGAAGAAACAUAAGGAAGAUUCUGGAAGUUUAGGUGUUAAAUUUGAGUUGGAUAGAUAUCUUCUUGAAGACCAAUAGCUUGAAUCUGAGGAUUUUGAUAUUUUGAUUUGGUGGAAAGUUAAUUCUCCUAGAUUUCCUAUACUUUCACAGUUGGCUCGAGAUGUAUUGACUAUUCCUAUGUCGAGUGUGGCUUCGGAAUGUGCAUUUAGCACGGGUGGUCGUAUUCUUGAUCCAUUUAGAAGUUCAUUGACUCCCAAAUGUGUGCAAUGCCUUAUUUGUGUUCAAGAUUGGCUUAGACAAGAAACUAAGCCUAUUUGUGUUGAAGAAAGUUUGGAGUUUCUUGAAAAAAUUGAACUUGAUAAGACUUUUAUUUUUUAUUUGUUUUUGGAAAAAAUACAAUACUUAUUGUGUUGUAUGACAUAUUUGAUUUUCUUAUUUAUAGAGAUGGCAAAUAACUCUUUCAUUGUUGAUCUAUGAUUGGCUUGCAAGUCUCAAAUAUUUAAUAGUGGUGAGUUUAGUACGUCAUUUAUUUAAUCUUAUCUUUUUUUUUAAUCUUAAAAGUAGUAUUCUAACAUUUAAUUUUAUCUUAAAAGGUCCAAGAGUCAAGACAAUGAAGAAAGACGUAAAGUACUAAGUUUUGUUAGUAUUUUUGUUGGCACUUGAGACUUGAAAGUGGUCUCAUGGAAGAAAGUCAAGAAACUACAUUGUUGCUCAUUAUUGUUAUUUGUUAUUGUUGGCACUUGAAACUUGAAAGUGGUCUCAUGGAAGAGGCUACAUUGUUUGUUGUUCAUUAUUGUUGUUCGUUAUUGUUGGCACUUGAAACUUGAAGGUGGUCUCAUGGAAGAAGCUACAUUGAUUAUUGCUCAUUAUUGUUGUUUGUUAUUGUUGACACUUGAAACUUGAAGGUGGUCUCAUGGAAGAAGCUACAUUGAUUAUUGCUCAUUAUUGUUGUUUGUUAUUGUUGACACUUGAAACUUGAAGGUGGUCUCAUGGAAGAAGCUACAUUGAUUAUUGCUCAUUAUUGUUGUUUGUUAUUGUUGACACUUGAAACUUGAAGGUGGUCUCAUGGAAGAAGCUACAUUGAUUAUUGCUCAUUAUUGUUGUUUGUUAUUGUUGACACUUGAAACUUGAAGGUGGUCUCAUGGAAGAAGCUACAUUGAUUAUUGCUCAUUAUUGUUGUUUGUUAUUGUUGACACUUGAAACUUGAAGGUGGUCUCAUGGAAGAGGCUACAUUGUUUGUUGCUCAUUAUUGUUGUUUGUUAUUGUUGACACUUGAAACUUGAAGGUGGUCUCAUGGAAGAAGCUACAUUGAUUAUUGCUCAUUAUUGUUGUUUGUUAUUGUUGACACUUGAAACUUGAAGGUGGUCUCAUGGAAGAAGCUACAUUGAUUAUUGCUCAUUAUUGUUGUUUGUUAUUGUUGGCACUUGAAUAUUGAAAGUGGUCUCAUGAAAACUACAUUGGUGCAUUAUUGUUACUUGUUAUAUUGUUAAUAUGUUGUUGUGUAAUGGCAUGAUCAAUUGAUUAUUGUAUUUGUGAAGUGUAGCGAAGUUUAAUUACUUGUUAAAUUGUUACUUGUUACUUGUUACUUGUUAGUGCCUUUUGGCCUAUUUGAUAGUGCCUUUUUGGCCUAAAACUGCCACAUCUUUUCGUAUUAUUAUGAGGAUUCUUUCAUUUUGAUUCGAUUUUCGAGGGGGAUAAAAAUGGAUUUAAAUGUUUCCUUGUAUUCAGGAAAUUAAAGGUUGAUAGUUUAAUUGAGUUGCCCUACAUUCAUUGAGUAAAAUUAUGGUAUUUUAUAAUAAUGUUAAAGAGAAUUGUAUCACAACUCUUUGCCUAUUUGUGUAAUUGUGUUGAACUUUUUGAAAGAAAAAAAGGAACAAUGAUAACGGCAAGUGUGGAACUACUCACAAGGCUUUUCUAGUAGUAUUUAAUUUAAAUUUAUAAUUUAUUGGCAUUUAGACUUUUAGUAGUAUUUUAAUUAUAAUUUAUUAACAAGGGCAAAUUUCAAUGAUAACGGCAGUUUAGUAGUUAGUACUUUGAAUCAUACAAUAAUUUAAAAAACAGAGUAAAAUAAGCAAAAAGAAAUAAAUAUAAAUAAAAUAAACAAAAAAAUUACAAAUUUUAAAAAGCCCACUAAGCAGGCCCAUCACAAAAAAACCGAACCAAACUUAAAUAAUAAAAACCGAAUCGAACCGAAUUAUUUCGAUUCGAUGUUCGGUACGCGUUGUACAAGAACCAAAAACCGAAAAAACCAAAAAAAAAAACCAAAACCAAACUGAAAUGCCGAAUGCCUGGCCCUAGAUCAGGCACUCUAGUUUCCCUUAUGCAAUUCCAAGUAUAAUUAUUUGAAUGGACAUCAUCACUAGUAGCCUCCAAAACCAUGAAAUCACUUCUACUACUGGAAAUCAUGAGUUGAUUUCUCACAUGGUCACUGAACUAAUAGUUAUUAUCUUAGAAAGUCACUUGUUUUUUGUUGAAAAAAAGGAAUCAAGAAGGAAGAUAGUGUUCUGAUAUAAUAAUUAUUAGUUGAGUGACCACCUGAGAAAUCAACUUAUUAUACCUCAUAAACAUACUACCUGAGCCACCAGGGGAGGCAUUUCUAGAAUGUUUUUACCACCAAGGAUGUCAUAAACAAGCUUGCCCAGUGUAACAAGGAUCAGGCUUAGUAUUAGUACCAUUAAAUGAAGAAGAGUUGCAUAGUUAGUGACAGAUCUAGGAAAAUAAUAAGAGGAUUCGAAAAGGAGGCAUCUGUCUUAGGCCUCAAAAAAUUGAGGGGACCCCAUUUUUCAGUAAUAAUAGAAUUAUUAUAAGUUGUUUAAAAAAAUAAUAAUCUCUCUUGCAGUUUAUUUGUCUAACUUUAUUUUAGUUCGUUUCGAAACACUAAAGAAUGUUUCUUUCUUUUUAUCAAUUUUAAAUUUAACUUUCCACCUGACAUGUUUAAGAACACAAGAUUAAUAUAUAUAUAUAUAUAUAUAUAUAUUACCUUAAAAGCAUGAACUCCUAACUUGAAUGUUAGAUUACUAUAAUAUUCCUAACUUAGGUUGUGUCUUUUUAGAUGAGUUGUGACUUUUCUGAUUAGUUUUGACUUCUCUCAAAGGAUUGUGAUUUUUCGAUUAGUUGUGACUUUUCCAAAGAGUUGUGACUUUUUCAAUAAGUUGUGACUUUUCGAAAGGGUUGUCACUUUUGGGAAAGGUCAUGAUUUUUCAGAUAAGACACAAAAAACACUUCUUCAUACCUCCCUUUGUUGACUAUAAAUAGAGCGAUUUCCUCCCAUUUUCAACCACAAUUUUUUAAAUCUUCUACUCUUAUUCUUCUUGCAUUUAAAAAACUUCGUGUGAUUUAUUAUUGUUGAGUGAGUUCAAAGUUUAGCAUAAUAUGAGGUACCACUAUUCUGAUGUAGUAAAUUGUUCUAUCCUAAGAGGGUAUAAUCCUUACCCUCGAGUACUUGAGGAAAUAAUUCUAAUGAUAUAAUAUGUUUUUUUGCUUAGUAUAUACAUUAGUAUGUAAUGUUCCACUAUAUGAAGUUAACAUGAUGUAAUCUAAAUUCAUUUGUUUUUGUUAUCAAUUCUAUUGUGAUGUAGAUAUAUGCUUGUUAAUAUAUUUUUUUCAAAAGUAUUAAACUUCUCAAGAGUUAGAGAAUUGUCACGAUUUGUUUUUUGAUGAUCAAGACAAAAGAAUGACUUGAUUUAUCAAUGCUACUUAUGUGCUUUAGAUUGUCAGGAAGUUUGAUUAAAAAUAGUUAUUACUAUGUAAACAUUGACCUUUUGUUUUACUAAUUUACUAUUUCUAAAUUAUUUCAGUAUUUUCGACGAAGAAAANNNNNNNNNNNNNNNNNNNNNNNNNNNNNNNNNNNNNNNNNNNNNNNNNNNNNNNNNNNNNNNNNNNNNNNNNNNNNNNNNNNNNNNNNNNNNNNNNNNNNNNNNNNNNNNNNNNNNNNNNNNNNNNNNNNNNNNUUUUUUGAUGUUCAAGACAAAAGAAUGACCUUAUUUGUCAAUGUUACUUAUGUGCUUUAGACUGUCAGGAAGUUUGAUUAAAAAUAGUUAUUACUAUGUAAACAUUUCCCUUUUGUUUUACUAAUUUACUAUUUCUAAAUUAUUUCAGUAUUUUCGACGAAGAAAACUUCAUAUAACUUCUAAUAACGCCAGUUGAAGUCUAUAUUAGUUUAAUUUUUAUUAUUUAUUUAAUAGCUAAUUUUAUGAGAUAAAUAUAUUCGUUAAUGCAUAUAAAUAUAUAUAUAUAUAUAUAUAUUGGUAGAUAUUUAUAUAUGUCACAAAUGUAUUAUCAAGUUAACAACCAUUAUUCUUGGACACUCUUAAUAAAAUUUCUGGCUCCGCCACUGCCCCUAUAAAUGUGACAACACGGUGUUGUUAUUUUCCUUGGACGAAUCCUGCUUGGUUGAAUAAAUUAAAAAUUGUUUACAAGUAUAUGAGCUAUAUCUUUAUUGGGUGUAAGAUAAAAUGUGAAUAUAUAUAUAUGAUUUCACAGAUAGAAUAUAUCUAUAUUUUUAAUUACAAGUUUUUCGGUAAAAAAGGAAACCUUUCUCAAUUAACUAUGGACAGUCAGAUAACUAUCUUUGAUUUAUAUACACAGAAAAUCGAGAAGUCAAAUAUGAGAGCCAACAAAAACAACGUCAUUCAUUAUGUUAUAACUUAUAAAAUAAAAUUACUAUACAAAAAUACUUCUAAAAAUAAAAUGUAGUUGUUCUCCACAUGUUCAUAUGACAUCUAAACAUAUUAAGUGGAAUACACGUGCAAAACACAUCUGGUUAGAUGACAAGAAAAACACACAACAAAUAUCGUUUAUAAGGUAAUAUUAGUGAGAUACGACUAAUUACACAAUUGACCCUCAUCAAAUUGAAAUAAAUAUGUACAUUAUUGCAUUUAACUAAUAAAUUUUUUCAUUGACUAUCUUCAUAGGUUAGUGUGAAUAAGGGAUAUAUAUGACGAUCCAUAUUGAACAUUUCACAAAAGAAUCUCUAAUAUUGUUUUGUGCAAAGCUUGUUAUUCAAAUCUUGGUUUAAAUUUUCUGAAUUGAUAAUCACGUGCAACGCACGUGUCAAAAAUCUAGUACUAACUUAAAAGCAUGAACUCCUACAUUGAAUGUUGAAUUACUAUAAUACCCUCAAGUAAAAGUACUCAAUUUAUUUUAUUUAUUAAUUUAAUUAUUUAUAUUAUAUUAAAUGUAGAUACCCAUUCAUAUUAAAAGGGUUGUGAUUUUCUCAAAGAGAUGUGACUUUUCCGAAGGGUUGCAACUUUUUAGACGGGUUUUGACAUUUUCGAUGAGGUGACUUUUUCAAAGGGUUGUGAUUUUUUCAAAGGGUUGUGACUUUUCCGAAGGGUUGUGCCUUUUUCGAUGAGUUGUUACUUUUGCAAAAUGUUGUGAUUUUUCCGAUGAGUAGUGACUUUUUCAAAAGGUUGUAACUUUUCUGAUAAGGAACAAUUAGCACCUAUUCAUACUACUAUCUGUUAGCUAUUAAUAGAGAGUUUCAUCUCACUUUUAAACUACGAUUUUUGAAAU